rfam:Schistosoma curassoni strain Dakar, Senegal genome assembly, scaffold: SCTD_scaffold0005692
GCACUGCUGAGGAGUCCCACAAUAGGACGAAACGGCCGU